rnacentral:rRNA from 1 species
AGAGAUAUGGAGCCUGUUAGAGCAGAUGCCUGUCGCAUGCCGGGGCAUCGGAAUUGUCCGAAGGAGUUACCGUGGCCCCAGUACACGAAGAGCAAAGAAAAUAACAUUCGGUUUUAAUCAGCAGUAGGAGUCUGACACUCUACCGCGCAAGCCAAAGUGGAGGGUGUCAUUUCAUGAUUUCCCAUCCGAAAAAAAAGGUGCACCGUAUUUCUAGGGUUCUUCUGUUGUGUUCUUCUUUCUUUUUCUGAUUCGUCCUUUGUGUGCAAAGUACAGAUGCAGUUUGCGCCGCGCUGUCGGUGCACCGCAUCCGCGGUGAUACUGACACGUCUGCGGAGCAUAUCGUCGGUGAGCCGGCGGUAAUACGCCGGUUCAAUAUCAAAAUCCUAUCGCGGUGCUCUUCGGUGAGUGUCGAGGUGGGCCGACAAUUUUACUUUGAACAAAUUAGAGUGCUCAAAGCGGGCUCAAAAUGCUGCUUGAAUAUUUCGUGCAUGGAAUAAUAGAAUAUGAUCUCGGUUCUAUUUUGUUGGUUUUCAGAACUCCGAGGUAAUGAUUAAUAGGGAUAACUGGGGGCAUUCGUAUUGCGACGUUAGAGGUGAAAUUCUUGGAUCGUCGCAAGACGAACAUCAGCGAAAGCAUUUGCCAAAGGUGUUUUCAUCAAUCAAGAACGAAAGUUAGAGGUUCGAAGGCGAUUAGAUACCGCCCUAGUUCUAACCGUAAAUAUGUCAUCUAGCGAUCCGCCGACGUUACUACAAUGGCUCGGCGGGCAGCUUCCGGGAAACCAAAGAUUUUGGACUCCGGGGGGAGUAUGGUUGCAAAGCUGAAACUUAAAGGAAUUGACGGAAGGGCACCACCAGGAGUGGAGCCUGCGGCUUAAUUUGACUCAACACGGGAAAUCUCACCAGGCCCGGACACCGGAAGGAUUGACAGAUUAACAGCUCUUUCUUGAUUCGGUGGGUGGUGGUGCAUGGCCGUUCUUAGUUGGUGGAGCGAUUUGUCUGGUUAAUUCCGGUAACGAACGAGACUCUAGCCUGCUAAAUAGGCGUCGUCAUUUAGGUGUGCGUGGCUACGCGUCACGCAACUCACUGGCGACGUAUUAAAAUUCUUCUUAGAGGGACCGGCGGCUUCGAGCCGCACGAGAUUGAGCAAUAACAGGUCUGUGAUGCCCUUAGAUGUCCUGGGCCGCACGCGCGCUACACUGAAGGAAUCAGCAUGUUCUCCCUGGCCUAGAGGCCCGGGCAACCCGCUGAAACUCCUUCGUGCUGGGGAUUGGGGUUUGCAAUUAUCCCCCAUAAACGAGGAAUUCCUAGUAAGCGCGAGUCAUAAGCUCGCGUUGAUUACGUCCCUGCCCUUUGUACACACCGCCCGUCGCUACUACCGAUUGAAUGAUUUAGUGAGGUCUUCGGACCGACACGCGGUGGCUUCACGGCCGUCGGCGUUGCUGGGAAGUUGACCAAACUUGAUCAUUUAGAGGAAGUAAAAGUCGUAACAAGGUUUCCGUAGGGGAACCUGCGGAAG